rnacentral:rRNA from 1 species
GACGAACGCUGGCGGCGUGCUUAACACAUGCAAGUCGAACGGAAAGGCCCUGCUUUUGUGCGGUGCUCGAGUGGCGAACGGGUGAGUAACACGUGAGUAACCUGCCCUUUACUUUGGGAUAACUUCAGGAAACUGGGGCUAAUACCGGAUAGGAGCUCCUGCUGCAUGGUGGGGGUUGGAAAGUUUCGGCGGUUGGGGAUGGACUCGCGGCUUAUCAGCUUGUUGGUGGGGUAGUGGCUUACCAAGGCUUUGACGGGUAGCCGGCCUGAGAGGGUGACCGGCCACAUUGGGACUGAGAUACGGCCCAGACUCCAACGGGAGGCAGCAGUGGGGAAUAUUGCACAAUGGGCGGAAGCCUGAUGCAGCAACGCCGCGUGCGGGAUGACGGCCUUCGGGUUGUAAACCGCUUUCGCCUGUGACGAAGCGUGAGUGACGGUAAUGGGUAAAGAAGCACCGGCUAACUACGUG